GGCCUGAGUCCUUCCGCUCCGUUGAAACUCACCUGGGGCUCAUCUUGGCACAGAAGCUGCAAGUCCGGGCACGGCACCCUCUGGGAUCUCACUACCCUCACCUCCUCUGGACAUUCCAGACGCUCAGCGGUGGGUCACAGUUGGGAUCUAGAUGUCCUGAGUGUGCCUAUCUUUUGCGUACCCCCUUUUCCUUUUUCCUUUUUCCUUUUCCUUUCUCCUUUCCCUGUUCUCCCCUCUUGAAGCCAUUUUCUAUUCCCCUACCAAACUAUUGUCCACUUCCUGGACAGCAGCCCUGGGGUGCUUUCUCUAACACACCCAGCAGGCCUAAUUGCAAAAGAAAGAAAGAAGGAAGGCAGGGGCAGGGGGAGUAUGGGGGUGGGCAGAAAACAAAAAAUCCGAACCUCCUACCCGGACCCUUGAGCGCACCACAAACUAGCACACCUCAGCAGCUAAGCAGUAGGCUGAAGCAGGUAAGUGGGCAGUGUCAGCCCACCAGUUUGUUUCAGGAGACCUUCGCCCUUCGCCCUUCGACUUUGGCAGGCGUCGAUCCCUGCAAAUCAAGUAAGCAAAGUGCCUCUACACACGUCUUUGCGCUUAGUUUUAUUUUUCACUUAAAAGUUUUUAUUUGGGAAAGAUUUUUUGAAAGUAAGCAUUAAUGCCGCGGCUAUCAUUUUUUUCCAACAGUUCCUUCUCCAUCCUCUAGAUAAAUCUAGAACCAUGGAGCGUUCUAUGAUUCUAAAGAAGUGAUUUUCUGUGGAGUGGCAGCCAUUUUUCUUUUAAAUGGCGGUCGCCGCCUAUUUGAUUGGGGGAGCUGGUGGCGUUCCUUUGGUUAGGUAAGCUGUCCAUUCCUUGUGAGCUUCUUUCACCUUCAAAAGAGUUUGGGUCCAUCGUUUUUUUAAGACACACUCCCGAAUAGCCAGGGCUUGGGGAUUUAUCCUUCUCCUUUCCGUCCCUUAUCUUCUAUACACCGAUUUUUUUUUUCUUUGCAAAGAAGGGGGAGGGGUUAGGCACCACACUAGGGGGUAAAAUAGACUAGCCAGGCGUUAUCCUCCAUGUCCUACACCGCUUACUAAAAGGACCUCACAUCUCUGGCCAUGUUAGCAAACUUAUGCUUUCCUUUGAUCAAGUCUUCUCACGCGCGACCUGUUGAUGACUCGGAGUGGCAGUGCGCGGAGCUCCGUGGAGAAGCCGGUUAUGUAAACUGCUUGUGUAUUUCACAUUAUCAUCGAGCUAUCUGGAGGCAAUGUAGAUUUUCUAAAGAUCUAAUGAAUAAACAACCAGCAACUGCUGGCGGUGUAAUUUACAUUGUUAAUGCCUACAUAUGUAUAAUAAAUACGCAUUUGUAUGCUUUCAAAUAAACUCUUUAGUUUUAAA
rnacentral:lncRNA from 1 species